rnacentral:misc_RNA from 1 species
CCUUAAAGAACCUGCCUUUGCAGUGCUCACACAGAUUGUCUGAUGAAAAACAGCAGUAAAAACCUCUACAGGCUUGUAGCUCAGGUGGUUAGAGCGCACCCCUGAUAAGGGUGAGGUCGGUGGUUCAAGUCCACUCAGGCCUACCAAAUUUGCGAAGCAAAUUUGAAGAGGUUGCAAACGAUGGGGCUAUAGCUCAGCUGGGAGAGCGCCUGCUUUGCACGCAGGAGGUCUGCGGUUCGAUCCCGCAUAGCUCCACCAUCUUUACUGCGAACACAAGAAAACUUCAGAGUGAACCUGAAAAGGUGCACUGCGAAGUUUUGCUCUUUAAAAAUCUGGAUCAAGCUGAAAAUUGAAACGACACACAGUUAAUGUGUGUUCGAGUCUCUCAAGUUUUCGCAAUCAGAAGUGAAACAUCUUCGGGUUGUGA